ACUUAUCACAUAGUCUUUGACUCUUGUAUAAAUACCACUACGUUAAUGAAAUACAAUUAUUCCAACCAUAUUAUUUUCAAUUUUAUCAUGGUAUCAGAGCUUGCAAAAAUCUCUCAGCUUACAAUUUCAUCUCCUAAACUCCCACAACUUAAUGAAGUUUCUCUGCCAAAUUACACUUUUUCCUUUCAGCUUCAGAAUGAUAAUUAUAUACCAUGGAAAACUCAUAUGUUGCCUACCAUCAUAGGCAGUAACCUUGAAGGUUUUAUUAAUGGAGCUUUCUAUGAGCCAUCAAUGGAGAUUGCAGCUAUAGAAGGCACCAGUCAAACUACACAAAUCAACCCAGAAUAUUUGCUGUGGAGACGCUUGGAUCAAGCACUUUUGGGAUGGAUGCUUUCAUCUGUAUCACCUCAAGUUCAAACUUAGAUUACAAAACCGGGCUGCCAAUUGAAUACGAUCCAGUAGCUGCAAAUAUAAAUUCAAUCAGUGGAUCAGUCGAGAUUGAAGAUGUUCAGGCCAUAUUGUUAAGCCAGGAAAUUCGGCUUCAAUAGCAAACUGCUUUAGAAUCUAUUUUGUCGGCUAAUAUUGCUACUUCUAGGAAUAAUGACCACUAUGUUGGGUCAAACGAAGCAAGUUGGGAUGAAAGGUCAUCAAGUUGUGGAAGAGGAGCUCGCGGAGGACGUGGCAGCAGAGGUAGAGGCCAUGGUUCUGGAGGUGGCUCUAGGGUCUAUUGUCAAUUGUGUAGGGUGUCAGGUCAUGUUGCUGCUAAGUGUUGGCACAGGUUUGAUCGAGACUUUGUCCCUUUGUCAUCAAAUAAUAAUAGCAACAAUUAUGCGUAUUA